rnacentral:rRNA from 1 species
UCCUACGGGGCGCAGCAGUGGGGGAUAUUGCACAAUGGGGGGAACCCUGAUGCAGCGACGCCGCGUGGGUGAAGAAGCGCCUCGGCGCGUAAAGCCCUGUCAGCAGGGAAGAAAAUGACGGUACCUGAAGAAGAAGCCCCGGCUAACUACGUGCCAGCAGCCGCGGUAAUACGUAGGGGGCAAGCGUUAUCCGGAUUUACUGGGUGUAAAGAGAGCGUAGGCGGCACUACAAGUCUCAUGUGAAAUACCCGGGCUUAACUUGGGGGUUGCAUGGGAAACUGUAGAGCUUGAGUACAGGAGAGGCA